UUCAGGCAGCUUUCUUUCGUGUGACUGGAAGAGAAUCCUGCCAAAAUGUUCAAACCUACCAGUUCUUCUAAGAAACAUUCUUAAGAUGGUGUCCCACCUGCUGAAUAUUUGCAGCAUUUUGCCUUUUGUAUAUGAUUAUUCCUACGGUGUAUUACUUUGAAUCCGGUUAAUGAGUCAAGUUUCAAUUAAAGAUCUUUAAAUGUUUUAAUUUUAUGCAGAGCCUGGGGGAGGCACUUGGUGGCCAACAUGAUCCAACUGAAGAAGGAACACAGUCAACAGGCUGAAUGGCCUACUCCUGUGAUCAGUGGUUAGCACUGCUACCUCACAGAUCCAAGGAC